rnacentral:rRNA from 1 species
UACGAGGGCUCCAAGCGUUAUCCGGAUUUAUUGGGCGUAAAGGGUCCGUAGGCGGUUUAUCGCAUCUUCCGUUAAAUCCCCCGGCUUAACCGGGGAACCGCGGAAGAGAUGGGUAAACUAGAGGAUGGGAGAGGUAAGCGGAAUUGCUAGUGUAGGGGUUAAAUCCGUUAAUAUUAGCAGGAACACCAAAUGCGAAAGCAGCUUACUUGAACAUUCCUGACGCUGAGGGACGAAAGCGUGGGGAGCGAAU